rnacentral:snRNA from 12 species
AUACUUACCUGGCAGGGGAGAUACCAUGAUCACGAAGGUGGUUCUCCCAGGGCGAGGCUCAGCCAUUGCACUCCGGCCGUGCUGACCCCUGCGAUUUCCCCAAAUGCGGGAAAGUCGACUGCAUAAUUUCUGGUAGUGGGGGACUGCGUUCGCGCUUUCCCCUG